UUCCGGUUGAUCCCGCCGGACCUGACUGCUAUCGGAUUGAUACUAAGCCAUGCGAGUCUUUGUAGUAAUACAAGGCAUACGGCUCAGUAACGCGUAGUCAACCUACCCUAUGGACAAGAAUAAUCUCGGGAAACUGAGGAUAAUACUCAAUAGAUCAUGAUGCCUGGAAUGGUUUAUGAUUAAAAUGAUUCGUCGCCAUAGGAUGGGACUGCGACCUAUCAGCUUGUUGGUGAGGUAAUGGCCCACCAAGGCGAUUACAGGUACGGGCUCUGAGAGGAGAAGCCCGGAGAUGGGUACUGAGACAAGGACCCAGGCCCUAUGGGGCGCAGCAGGCGAGAAAACUUUGCAAUGUGCGAAAGCACGACAAGGUUAAUCCGAGUGAUUUCUGCUAAAGAAAUCUUUUGUUAGUCAUAAAACCACUGACGAAUAAGGGGUGGGCAAGUUCUGGUGUCAGCCGCCGCGGUAAAACCAGCACCUCAAGUGGUCAGGAGAAUUAUUGGGCCUAAAGCAUCCGUAGCUGGUUCUCUAAGUUUUUGGUUAAAUCUAUGUGCUCAACGCAUAGGCCGCCGAAAAUACUGAAGAGCUAGGGAGUGGGAGAGGUAGACGGUACUUGAUAGGAAGGGGUAAAAUCUUUUGAUCUAUCGAUGACCACCUGUGGCGAAGGCGGUCUACCAGAACACGUUCGACGGUGAGGGAUGAAAGCUGGGGGAGCAAACCGGAUUAGAUACCCGGGUAGUCCCAGCUGUAAACGAUGCAGACUAGAUGAUGCAUUGGCAUAUAGCCAGUGCAGUAUCUCAGGGAAGCCGUUAAGUCUGCCGCCUGGGAAGUACGUACGCAAGUAUGAAACUUAAAGGAAUUGGCGGGGGAGCACCACAAGGGGUGAAGCCUGCGGUUCAAUUGGAUUCAACGCCGGG
rnacentral:rRNA from 1 species